CAGGAGCGUGGGGGCGGUGAACCCACUCUUCAGCUUCUUCAGCGGCCGGAACUAGUUCCGUCGCGGAGGCGUUCGUGCGUGCGAAGAGACGUGAUUACGUCUAGGCUACCCGCGGGAAGCGGCGGUUUCAAAACGAGGGAGCUUACUCCAAGUAAUGACUUACCUUUUUAAGGAACAUGGCAGAUCAAACCCAGGAAGGAAGCAUACAUUUCCCUUUCCCCUACACUCCUUACUCUAUCCAGAAGGACUUUAUGGCAGAGCUGUACCGUGUUUUGGAAGCUGGAAAAAUUGGAAUAUUUGAGAGUCCAACUGGCACUGGUAAAUCCUUAAGUCUCAUUUGUGGGGCCCUUUCUUGGCUUCGGGACUUUGAGCAGAAGAAGCAGCAAGAAGAAGCCCAUCUUCUUGACACAGGAAUUGCUCCACCAGAUUUUCUGGAAGAAGGCCCACCUCACAUGUCUACUAAUCAGGAGGCUUCAGAUGCUCCAAAGUCUACUGGGGAGCCUGAUUGGAUUGUCCAGUUUGUGCAGAAGAAGGAAGAAAAAGACAGGAUAGACAGACUUAGGGAUGAACAGAUCAAGAAGAAGAAGCGAGAAGAACGUCUCCAACAGUUACGCCACAAUGUACAUUUAAAAUAUGCAGCCAAAAGAGUGAGACAAGAAGAAGAAGAGAUGGAGCGCCUGUUGCACCUCAGCAAGGAGAUGUUAGCAGCAGCUGGGAGUGGACAGCCAGAAGAAGAACUCUGCAAGGAAGAAGAGCUGCUGCUUGCUGAAUAUGAAAGUGAUGAGGAGAAAAAAACAGUCAGUGGAGCUCAUGAAGAAGAUGAGGAAGAUCUAGAAGAGGAACAUGUAACUAAGAUUUAUUACUGCAGCCGAACCCACUCUCAGCUGACGCAGUUUGUGCGCGAGGUGCAGAAGAGCCCCUUCGGCAAGGAGACGCGCCUUGUCUCCCUCGGUUCCCGGCAGAACCUUUGUGUGAAUGAAGAGGUGAAGCGCCUGGGCUCAGCCACCCUCAUCAACGACCGCUGUCUGGAGAUGCAGAAAAGCAAGCAUGAAAAGAAGAAUAAAGAGGACGAAAAGGCAAAGAAAAGGAAAACGGAGACUCAUACUUCCUGCCCCUUCUACAACUAUGAGCAGAUGCAGUUUCUUCGUGAUGAGGUUCUAAUGGAAGUGAAGGACAUUGAGCAGCUGGUGGUACUGGGGAAGGAGACUCACGCCUGCCCCUACUAUGGAAGCCGAUUUGCCAUUCCCUCAGCCCAGCUGGUGGUUCUCCCUUACCAAAUGCUGCUGCAUGCAGCUACCCGCCAUGCUGCAGGCAUUAAACUUCAGGGACAAGUGGUGAUCAUUGAUGAAGCCCACAAUCUGAUUGAUUCUAUCACGAGCAUCCACAGUGCUGAAGUUAAUGGUUCCCAGCUCUGCCAGGCUCACUCUCAGCUGUCCCAAUACAUGGAGCGAUACAGGAAACUUUUGAAGGCCAAGAACCUGAUGUACAUCAAACAAAUUUUAUAUUUGCUGGAGAAAUUUGUGACUGUUUUGGGUGGAAAUGUGAAACAGAAUCCCAACACACAGAACCUCUGUCAAACAGGGACUGAGCUGAAGACCAUCAAUGACUUCCUGUUUCAGAGUCAGAUUGACAAUAUCAACCUUUUCAAGGUACAGCGGUAUUUUGAAAAGAGCAUGGUCAGCAGAAAGCUAUUUGGGUUCACUACGGAAUACGGUGGUGUCUCUAUUCUUCCAUCUUCUAAAGAACAAUCCAAAUUGACUGGUUUCCAGCACUUCUUGCAGAGCCUUCAGCCCGGGCCUGGAGCAGCUCCUUCAUCUGCUCCUGGAGAGGAUGAGGGUGGCCCGCCGCGCCUGGGCUCUCCAUUGAUGCAGAUUGAAAGCUUCCUUGCGGCCCUCACCACCGCCAACCAGGACGGCAGGGUGAUUGUGAGCAGACAAGGCAGCCUCAGUCAGAGCAGCCUCCGGUUUCUCCUCUUGAAUCCCUCGGUGCACUUUGCCCAGGUGGUAAAGGAAUGUCGGGCCAUGAUCAUCGCUGGGGGCACCAUGCAGCCGGUGGCUGAUUUUCGGGAACAGUUGCUAGAAUGUGCUGGAGUUGGAACAGAGCGAGUGGUUGAGUUUUCCUGUGGUCAUGUAAUCCCACCAGACAAUAUUCUACCCAUUGUCCUUUGCAGUGGACCCUCUAAUCAGCAGUUGGAAUUCAUCUAUCAGAAGAGAGAGCUGCCUCAGAUGAUGGAUGAAGUCGGCCGCAUCCUAUGCAACCUCUGCAACGUGGUCCCUGGGGGCCUGGUCUGCUUUUUCUCCUCCUAUGACUACCUGCACAAAAUACACGCACACUGGAAGCAGAGUGGGCUGCUGACGCGUCUGGCUGUAAAGAAGAAGAUAUUUCAGGAACCUAACCGAGCAAAUCAGGUGGAACAGGUGUUGACUGAGUACUCCAAGUGCAUUAAGCGAUGCAGCCAAGUGAAAGGUGUGAUGACUGGGGCCCUUCUCCUUUCAGUAGUUGGAGGGAAGAUGAGUGAAGGGAUCAACUUCUCUGACGACUUAGGGCGGUGUGUGGUUAUGGUGGGCAUGCCCUACCCCAACAUCAAAUCCCUGGAGCUGCAAGAGAAGAUGGCAUACCUGGACCAGACUCUUCCCAAUAACCCAGGGAAAUCCUUGAUGGAAAACCUGUGUAUGAAAGCUGUCAAUCAAUCCAUAGGACGAGCCAUCCGGCAUCGGCAGGAUUUUGCCAGCAUCCUGCUCCUAGACCAGCGUUAUUCCCGCCCGUCCAUUCUGGCCAAGCUGCCUGGCUGGAUCCGAGACCAAGUAGAAAUCAAAACUGCAUUUGGCCCAGCCUUUGCUACAUUGCGGAAGUUUCACCGGGAGAAAUCCGAUCCUUCCUGACAGAUGAGCAUCGCUCCCUGCUCCACACCUAAGCCUCUUACAUUUGUUAGUUCAUCUACAGGAGUUGUGACUGCAAAGACAAAACACAGAUGGAUAAGGGUGGGAUCUAACCCCUGCUCUUCUUGGCCUUGGUGUGAAGGCUACAGGACUAUUUUAUGUUGGUGAAAAACAACUGGACAGCAAGACUUGGAGGACCACCUCCUUAAAGGCCCUCUCCCCCCGGGAGCUGAGACCUGCAGGGCCCUUUCAUCUAGGGGUCGGUGCUUGCUCUGGAUCUUAUGUCGGAUGCGCCUCUGAGACCCAGGAUCCUCGGCUCCUUCGAAGAUGGAGUUGUACUCCUGCAGUCUAUCUGGGGCUGGAUACUUGGCACUAGAGAACACCUGUGGGGAGACAGGAACUUUCAGGGAUGAAAGGCACUCUUUUCCUUUGAUGGAAGACCCCCUGGUGAAAAAAAGUGGUAAGGAACACCUUGGAAGGAAGAACUAGGGUGGUUAUGAAGUACCAUCCUCUGGGCCAAGUCGAGAGGCCCUGAGCUUGCCCAAAAGAAGUCGGGAUCUCUGCACUGACACUUGGGGAGCGAAGAGGAAAAAGAUGGUAGUGCCUUUUACCUUAAUUGCCUUCUUGCUGCCCUUGAUUUUCUCGAUCUUGGCCUGAGCCAGAGAGACUCUCUCUCCAAUGACUUGCAGCUGGCUGCGGCUCAUUUCUACUCGUUGGGAAAUCCUACCAGGAAGACCAACACUCAUGAGUGAGGGGCCAUUCCAACGGUGCUAUGCCCCAACUUUCUUAUGCCCUAGUGUCCCAAGUGAAGGAGCGCAUUCUCUGAGAAGACAACUCAGAAGAACCUGUGUGUACUGGAGAACUCCCAUCCAAUAGGGGUUUUGCAAAAGGACUUCAACAGACUGACAUAACUCUAACCCUACAGAACAGAUAUUCAGAAACACCGGUACCUUCCCUACAGCAGGCAAAAUCAUAACUAAGGCGGAGGUCACAAGGUUUUCUCACUAUUUAGCAUCCAGGAAGCUUGAAAUGACCCUAAAGGCUUCAACCUCCUUACACCAAUUCAAGAGAAGUUCAAACAUACCUGUUAAGUGCCUACCUCCCUCUGGUUCAUCAAGUAUUCCUUGAUGUGCAUGUGCAUUAUUGUCAUAAAUAUUUUGUAGAGAAAGUAAGAAAUUAUGGGUUAGGGUAAGUUACUGAUUUUUUUCUUGGUUUUCAUUUGAAGGAGGGGGAAUUUUAAAAGUCUAGGAUUUUUUUCUGAGUGUGAUAGCCUUCUCUAGAUCCUGCCUAAGGCUUCAAAAUUACGUCACCAAGGGUAUGUAAUCUUUUUUAGUAUGGUCUUAAAAUACAGUAUCAGGAGCAAACAGGGGAAGCUGCCUUUGAGAAUGUUUGCUCUCUACAAUACCACCAUGUUAUAGGAGAAUAAGAUUUUUGGGAGGUUUGAGACAGUAUAAUUUGAAAUAGUAUUUUUAUGAAAUUUUAUUCAAAUGCAGUAGACCACAGGCUUGUCUAAAGGUAAGGGCUGUUUAUUUCUGUCUUUGUAUCACCAGUGCUUUGCAUAUACCAGGCUUUUACUAAAUGUUUGAAGAACUAAAUUGAAUAGCUUUUAAUUAGUCAACUUUUUGUUUAUACAGCUGUUACUUUAAUUUUAUUUAUGCAUGCGAGGAAAUUUGAGGCUCAAAUAGAUUAAGUGACUCGACCUUAAACAGUUCAUAAGGACUAGACCCAGAGUCUGUCUCCUAAUUAGCUUUCUUUCACUAUAUUCCCAUUUAGAAAGGAUUUCAUAUAUUAGGUGGAAAGGGGAUAUUAAAUUAUUUCUAAGAUCCCUUCUAACUCUAAUAUCCUAUUUUAAACUAUGGUAUAUUUAUUGAAAAAUCUUUCUCAUUAUAGUCAGACCCCAUAUGUCAAGGCAGGAAUGAGAGUCAAAACACAAGUAUUCUGACUCUUAACAACAGAAAUGACCUUGCCCAGCCCCACUCAAUCCAAAGAAGGUCCUUGUCUCCCUCCCACCCCUCAUACCUAUGACCUGUAUCCUUCUGGGUCUGGUCUCCUCCACAUUAAAGAUGUCCUGGGAUGAACUCUGCCAACUCCUCAGCAUCUAAGUCACCAAAGCCAGUUCCUAUUCUGGCACUUCCCAAAAGGUCCUUGACUUUUAAAAAUCACUGGCUUCUCUUCCUUCCACUUUUCCCAUUUUGUUCUUUCCCAUCCCCAGGCAAAGAAAAACUUGAACCUAAGCUCUCUUCACCUUUCCCUCCUGAGCUCUUGGGAUAAUUAAGAACAAUCUGCUAAUUAUGCAAGCAGCUGAUUGAGUAUUCUGUAACCUAAUGUGCUCCCAAGUGCCAAUCAUUUGAGAGAGGCAGAAAAAGAUGGAGCAGAAGAAGGGGGGGAGGCAAGAAGAAAAUAAAGGAAAGCUUUUUAUUAAUGCCAUCUCUACCUCCUUCUUGCAUGUCCCCCACUUUCCCUAAAGAAGGUAGCUUUUCCCUCAAAGUUAUUAAGUAGGCGUGAAAAAAGGAAUAAGUAUAUAAGUCAGUUGCAUCCAUGCUGUAAACCAGAGAAAUUGCCCUUCCUCUAAGCCCCAAUACAUACGUCCCUUGACAUAUAAGUCCUACAAGGUAGAUGUCUACACUGGAACCAUAGGGUUAGGCCUAAUUUCUGUUAAGUGAAACUGGGAGGAGAUGGUUGUUGGAAAAUAAAGAGCUAGAAGAAAAGAGGAAGCUAUUGGAGGCAGGACAGAGAAAAGAUUAGAAGAGACAGAAGUCUGUGGAGAGAGUUGUAAUUCCUUCAGUCUCUCUGAAAAUCUCUGCUGUCACAUUUUCUAGGCUCCAAUUCACCUGGUUGGAAUGAGGGCAGAGCAAAGAGUUCCUACCUAAACCAGAGAAAGGAAAAUCUGUUG